UACGUAGGGUGCAAGCGUUGUCCGGAAUUAUUGGGCGUAAAGAGCUCGUAGGCGGUUCGUCGCGUCGGCUGUGAAACCCGGAGCUCAACUCCGGGCCUGCAGUCGAUACGGGCGGACUUGAGUGUUGCAGGGGAGACUGGAAUUCCUGGUGUAGCGGUGAAAUGCGCAGAUAUCAGGAGGAACACCGGUGGCGAAGGCGGCAUCCUGGACCGGCAUUGACGCUGAGGCGCGAAAGCCAGGGGAGCAAACGGG
rnacentral:rRNA from 1 species